CAUUUGCACCUGGUGGAGCAGC
rnacentral:miRNA from 1 species